GGAAGGAGCUAUUGGGGCCUCUAAGUUCCAAAAAGCACAAGGAGAGGCUGACCAUGGACACGGCAAGGACUAUUCCUAGCUCCUGGGUGCAAGAGGCUCUGGAAGCACCCUGCCCUCUGGUCCAUCUCGGAGAGGUAGCUUCUGCUGCUACCCUUAUGUCACCGAUGAAGAAACUGAUGCUCAGAGAGAUUCAAGAUUUGACCGGGUCCACUCAGACAACAAGGGGCCGAGCAAGACAACCUCAGUCCUUUUGAAUCCUAAUCUCCAACUCCUUCGACUGCAGCAAAAUCCCUUCCAGGGUUCCAUUUGUUCCCCGCCGAGUUUUUCUGGGCCCAAGAUUUAGUCCUGGCCUGAUAUUUGCUCUGGGAAUAAUCCAGACUCUGAGGCUGAUCCCAGGCAGAGGACUUAACUGAGGCCUUGGAAUGCUGAUGAAGACCACGAGAG
ensembl:lncRNA